AGAAUCAACGCUGGCGGCGUGCCUAACACAUGCAAGUCGAACGAGAAAGUGGAGCAAUCCAUGAGUAAAGUGGCGACCGGGUGAGUAACACGUGACUAACCUACCUUCGAGUGGGGGAUAACCUCGGGAAACCGAGGCUAAUACCGCAUAACAUCGCAAGAUCAAAGCAGCAAUGCGCUGGAAGAGGGGUCGCGGCUGAUUAGCUAGGUUGGCGGGUAACGGCCCACCAAGGCGAAGAUCGGUA
rnacentral:rRNA from 1 species